UACGUAGGGUGCAAGCGUUAAUCGGAAUUACUGGGCGUAAAGCGUGCGCAGGCGGUGAUGUAAGACAGAUGUGAAAUCCCCGGGCUCAACCUGGGAACUGCAUUUGUGACUGCAUCGCUGGAGUGCGGCAGAGGGGGAUGGAAUUCCGCGUGUAGCAGUGAAAUGCGUAGAUAUGCGGAGGAACACCGAUGGCGAAGGCAAUCCCCUGGGCCUGCACUGACGCUCAUGCCCGAAAGCGUGGGGAGCAAACAGG
rnacentral:rRNA from 1 species